rnacentral:rRNA from 1 species
CGGAGGGAGCGAGCGUUGUCCGAAGUUACUGGGCGUAAAGCGCGCGUAGGCGGGGGAUUAAGUGAGAAGUGAAAGGCUGGGGCUCAACCCCAUGCAGUGCUUCUCAUACUGGUCCUCUUGAGGGUGGUAGAGAGAAGUGGAAUGGCUGGUGUAGCGGUGAAAUGCGUAGAUAUCAGUCGGAACACCGGUGGCGAAGGCGGCUUCUUGGGCCAUUUCUGACGCUGAGGCGCGAAAGCUAGGGGAGCGAACGGGAUUAGAUACCCCGGUAGUCCUAGCCGUAAACGAUGGAUACUAGGUGUCGGGGGUAUCGACCCCUCCGGUGCCGCAGCUAACGCACUAAGUAUCCCGCCUGGGGAGUACGGCCGCAAGGUUG